AUACAGCAGUAGCCACGGGAAUACGGAGGGAGCUAGCGUUGUUCGGAAUUACUGGGCGUAAAGCGCGCGUAGGCGGUUACUCAAGUCAGAGGUGAAAGCCCGGGGCUCAACCCCAGAACUGCCUUUGAAACUAGGUGACUAGAAUCUUGGAGAGGUCAGUGGAAUUCCGAGUGUAGAGGUGAAAUUCGUAGAUAUUCGGAAGAACACCAGUGGCGAAGGCGACUGACUGGACAAGUAUUGACGCUGAGGUGCGAAAGCGUGGGGAGCAAACAGGAUUAGAUACCCCAGUAGUCCCUGUCUCUUAUAC
rnacentral:rRNA from 1 species